GCGAGGCCUGCGGGGUGCCCUCGAGCGAGAACCACGCUAGCCGCCCUCGCACUCCAUCCCUUCUCCGCCGCCCUCGCGCUCGCAUCAAGGAUCGAGGCCUCAGAGUGCCCUCGAUCCCUGCACUACCUCCGUUCCGCGCCGCCGAUCCGUUCCCCCCGCCACCGAUCCCUUCGCCGCCGCCGAUAUCGUCGCUACUAUCCCCUUCAGGAGCCGCCGCCGAUCCCCUUCAGGAGUCGCCGCCGAUCCCCUUGAGGAGCCGCAGCCGAUCCCUUCGCCUGCCCGGCUAGGGUUCCCAUCCGUGUCCUCGCCCUUGCACCAUUACCAUCGCCUCGUUGCGGCGGUCCUCGUUGCUUCCCGAUCCAUCCGAGAUCCAUCCAAGCUGCCGGCGAACGCUUCCUGUGUGCAGAGCACAUAGUAGUUCUCAAAGGUCGCAUGACUCAGCAGCAAUGGACGCCUUAUCUGCUUGGGAAUGUGGCCGCACCAGAUUGGUAUCUUCUCUUCUGAAAUCCAAUAGCUGUUGUCCAAUUGUUUGCUGAUACGCUUGACUGAAUUUGCAAAGAGUUAUUAAGUCUUUAUUUGCGACUGAGUUUCUCAUAUUCUGAUUGAUGUGACUAAAAAGUAUUUUGUUGGACGGCAACUCUAAGCUGCAUGUUCAUUUGGAGAAGCAUGAUGAAUAUUCGAUGGACACUGUCAAAGAUGAAAAGGAGAAUUCUUCUAUUCUCCGGGCUGUCAGGGAUUUUGUACUUCCAUCAGGUUUUCCAGCUGAAUGUUGGCAUCCCGGUGUGGUUUGAUUAUGCAUCUAUGCAUUGCUUUUGCUAUUUGUCAUGGAGUAUGAACUGUGGAGGUUCAGGUUUAGUAUCUUGGAAAUGCAGUGAUUGAUGUGUUUUCUAAUUGUAAUGCAGUAAACAAACUGUUCUGCAAGUUUUGUACUUUAUUUUCUAGUACUGUUAAAUGUAGAGCUUGAUUUUGUAUAUGUAUUUCCCUCAGAUUCUUGAAGGUUCCUGCAUAAGAGGUCAUUGUUCCACAUUCUCUGUUGUCUCUCUUUAUAUUCCAGAAUCUGUUUCAGAUGAUUAUCUGCAGUACAUGCUAUUGGAAUUGCGAACAAAUGUGACAUGAUGGAUCUGUCACAUGUUCGUUACAUCAAGUCUUCUGAAGGUCCAGUCCAGCCGAGAAACAUAUACUCCAGUCCAACAUAUAUAGUCCAGUCACAUGCUUUAACGUGAUUUCACGAGCGGCAACUAGGCCAGCAACGGUGUGUCCGUAAAGAACGACAGCUAAAGGAAACCAAUCAGCUGUAGAGAAGUGGAGCAACAUUAGAGCAUGAGAAUGAGAUAGACUUUUCAGUGACAGGCAACCAUUGUGCUGUAGAGAAGUGGAGCAACAUUCAUGUCCUAGAGGGAUAAAGACACAUACAAUUACAAUGGAGGUGACAGGCCUGAAAAUGUGAGAAUUGAAGCAAUAUAUUCCCUGCUCUCUCCUUUUUUAAUCUUGAAGCCAGUAGGAGAGGCUCCUAAUGACAUGUAUACAUUACUAACAAGAAUAUGGGAGCUUUCAUAACUUGAGAUUUCAGGACUGACCUAGAGGAAAUGAUUAGUACUUUGAGCCGAUCGUGAACCUGUGGUAGUUGAUAUGCGUGAUUGUUUUGCUCUGCUUAUCAACUAGCGAUGCCUUGAUUUUAAUGUGGCCCCUAACUUAUGAACUCUUAGUCUGGAAACUACAGCUAUUUAGCGGUUAAUUAUAACUUUUAAGAAUGGUUACCUUGAUGUUGUUAGUUCUCCCUCUUGUUAACUAGCCAAGAGGUAGAUCUCAGUUUCAUUGAGUUUCAUUGAGCUGCUGGCACUUAGUUUUUAGUGUUUCAGUCAUACUGCAAUGCCAGCAUCCUUUUUAUUUGACAUUACGAAACAGAGACAUCUUGAUGCUGAAGUUCAAAUCUGACACUUGUGAAGAUUUUCACAUGUUAUAUGUAGUUGGUGAUGGGGUAUAUAGAGCAUGUUGUAGUUGGUGACAACACAUGAUUGUUUCUGUGCAAAUAUAUUGUUUCACCUUGAGUUCUUAGUAUUGUACAUGAUCAUAUGACAACAUUGUUGUUUCAUCCACAUCUCUGCCAUAGCACUACAGAUGGAAACUUUUAUAAGUCCAAUGUUUCCAGUUUAAGAAUGCAUCGGCAUUUUGUUUAUAUUUAUUUGAGUCGCUACUAAAUUGUUAAUCUUGAGCAUCACUUGAUCAACUAUGUGCAUUGAAGUCUUAUUUGCCUGUCCUAAGCUCGAGACUAUUGGAAUGGGUCUACUCCUUGCUAAUCAUCACCUGACCAUUGAUACGCUGCAACAGGACACCUCACCACUGGAUGAAACUCACAACGACCGGAAUCUACAUCGUCCAGUGUGUCAUGGCGUCCCUCUAGCUCACUCAUGAUCUUCUCAUGUGACCUGCGGUGAGGACCAGUUUCUUAGGGGACAUAGUUGAAGAGAAGCAUUGACUGGUAAGCCUCGUAUGGUAUUACUUGCAUAAUAAAGAUUGAAAUUUAUCAGUUCGUUUCC